rnacentral:rRNA from 1 species
CAUGGAGAGUUUGAUCCUGGCUCAGAAUGAACGCUGGCGGCAUGGAUUAGGCAUGCAAGUCGAACGGAAACGAUGGGAGCUUGCUCCCAGGCGUCGAGUGGCGAAAGGGUGAGUAACGCGUGAGUAACUUACCCCAAGGUUGGGGAUAGCCCCGGGAAACUGGGAUUAAUACCGAAUGUGGCGGUCUGCUUUCGGGCGGAUUUGCUAAAAAUUUAUUGCCUUGGGAUUGGCUCGCGUCCGAUUAGCUUGUUGGUGGGGUAACGGCCUACCAAGGCUUCAACCGGUAGGUGGUCUGAGAGGACGAUCACCCACACUGGGACUGAGACACUGCCCAGACUCCUACGGGAGGCUGCAGUCGAGAAUCUUCCGCAAUGCGGGAAACCGUGACGGAGCAAUGCCGCGUGAGGGAUGAAGGCCUUCGGGUCGUAAACCUCUGUCACCCGGGAUGAAUUUUGACAGUACCGGGAGAGGAAGCCACGGCUAACUACGUGCCAGCAGCCGCGGUAAUACGUAGGUGGCUAGCGUUAUUCGGAUUCAUUGGGCGUAAAGGGUCCGCAGGGGGUUUGGUAAGUUUGGUGUGAAAUGCCAGGGCUCAACCUUGGACAUGCAUUGAAAACUGCCAGACUAGAGUGCAGGAGAGGAGAGUGGAAUACCAGGUGUAGCGGUGGAAUGCGUAGAU